GGCGGCUCUGCCCCUCAGCAGGCCGCUGGGCCUGCUCUGUGCGUGGUCACAGUUCCCUCUACCUUGCCGGUGCAGGGGGAGGGGGCGGCUCUGCCUCUCAGCAGGCCGCUGCUCCUCUUCUGCAGGUGGGUCGCAGGCCCGCCUACCUUGCAGGAGUGAUUGGAAGCUCUGUCCCACCGCGGGCCACUGGGCCUUUUCUGUCGGUGGUCAC
rnacentral:lncRNA from 1 species